rnacentral:rRNA from 1 species
GAUGAACGCUAGCGGCAGGCUUAAUACAUGCAAGUCGAACGGUAAGGUCCAGCUUGCUGGAUACACGAGUGGCGAACGGGUGCGGAACGCGUACACAAUCUACCUUCUAGAACGGAAUAGCCCUGGGAAACUGGGAUUAAUACCGUAUAGUAAUACGAAGAGGCAUCUCUUUUUAUUUAAAGAUUUAUCGCUAGAAGAUGAGUGUGCGUCCCAUUAGCUUGUUGGUGAGGUAACGGCUCACCAAGGCAACGAUGGGUAGGGGGCGUGAGAGCGUGAUCCCCCACACGGGCACUGAGACACGGGCCCGACUCCUACGGGAGGCAGCAGUAAGGAAUAUUGGACAAUGGGGGCAACCCUGAUCCAGCCAUGCCGCGUGAAGGAUGACUGCCCUAUGGGUUGUAAACUUCUUUUAUUUGGGAAGAAACCCUUGGAUUUAUCCGAGGCUGACGGUACCAAACGAAUAAGCACCGGCUAACUCCG